rnacentral:rRNA from 1 species
UGGGGAAUUUUGGACAAUGGGCGCAAGCCUGAUCCAGCAAUGCCGCGUGCAGGAAGAAGGCCUUCGGGUUGUAAACUGCUUUUGUACGGAACGAAAAGGUUCGGGUUAAUACCCUGGGCUCAUGACGGUACCGUAAGAAUAAGCACCGGCUAACUACGUG